UUAGCCGUGUAAAUCUCUUGG
rnacentral:misc_RNA from 1 species